CCUACGGGCGGCACCAGUGGGGAAUAUUGCACAAUGGGCGCAAGCCUGAUGCAGCCAUGCCGCGUGUGUGAAGAAGGCCUUCGGGUUGUAAAGCACUUUCAGCGGGGAGGAAGGCGUUAAGGUUAAUAACCUUGGCGAUUGACGUUACCCGCAGAAGAAGCACCGGCUAACUCCGUGCCAGCAGCCGCGGUAAUACGGAGAGUGCAAGCGUUAAUCGGAAUUACUGGGCGUAAAGCGCACGCAGGCGGUCUGUUAAGUCGGAUGUGAAAUCCCCGGGCUCAACCUGGGAACUGCAUUCGAAACUGGCAGGCUAGAGUCUUGUAGAGGGGGGUAGAAUUCCAGGUGUAGCGGUGAAAUGCGUAGAGAUCUGGGGGAAUACCGGUGGCGGAGGCGGCCCCCUGGACAAAGACUAACGCUCAGGUGCGAAAGCGUGGGGAGCAAACAGGAUUAGAUACCCGCGUAGUC
rnacentral:rRNA from 1 species